rnacentral:tRNA from 1 species
GGAAAGGUGCUCGAGUGGUUGAAGAGGCACGCCUGGAAAGCGUGUAAGCCCAGAAAAGGCUUCGCAGGUUCGAAUCCUGUCCUUUCCG